rfam:Triticum aestivum genome assembly, contig: Triticum_aestivum_CS42_TGACv1_scaffold_222232_3B
GAUAUACUCCCUCCGUCCAGAAAUAUUUGAUAUCAAAAUGAAUAAAAAGAAAUGUAUUAGACAUAUUUUAGUUCUGGAUAUAUCAUUUUUUAUCUAUUUUGAUGACAGGUAUUUUUGAACGGAGGGAGUAGCAC